GAUCAGAGGUGGAAUUAAUUUACUUGGAAUUGCAAUGGUUGUUCUUCCCCCUAGUUCCACACACGUUGCCCUGAUUUAUUCCCCAGUAAGGGCAAAAUUCUGCCCUUGGCUGUACCAUAGCUCUAAGAAUACUCAUCUGAGAAUUGCCUCUCUUCUUCCUCUGCUUUCCAUCUGUCAGCCUGAAGUACAACUUGGGUUACUGCAGAUGUCUUCUCUAACACAGAAGUGGUUUAAUUUUAUUUAUUGAGUAUUACAGCUAUAUCAGCAUUUUAAUGUCACCAAAAUCAGUUGAUCCAUGCACUGAAUUACUAACAUCAUUAUGGGAGAAGAAACUCACACCAACACAUUCAGCUGCUGGGUAGUGUGUCAAUGCCUGGAUGAGGAACAGCAUUACCAGGCAAUAACAAGGCUCUGAAAGUCAACUGCCAUAAUCUGAGAUGAUUUUAGAGCAACUUGAAAAUCCUGGAAAUAUCCACAGAAAUGGAAAUUAUCUUUACAAAGCUGGCAGAUUAUUCAGGGCAACAGUCCUAAAAAUACACAAUACAUUGCUUAGAAGGUUUUCCAGAAUGCUUUUUUAAAAACUUGUGAAGCCAUAGCACAUUAGCAUUUACCAGAGAAAUAAUAUAGUGUGCUUUUACAAUCUAAACCCACGUUUUCUGCAAUGGAAACCAGUGUUUUCCUUGCAGUUUCUUCCAGAGUCACUGUCAUGUCAGCAUUGGAGAUCUGUGCUGAGAUCUUUCCCUUCUUGUGAACUGUGCACGGUCUCAGUGGACUGGCUGAUUCUGUCAUUACUAACAUUGUCUCUGCAGCAAUGGAUGAGUGCCAGGUUUCAUAUCUAUGCUUAAAUCUGCUCAGUGGUUUUGCUGAAAAGGAGGUAUCUGCACUUGGUGGGGAAACUGAACUAUUCUUGGCUUCAGGAAUUUAAUUCUUCUUUAACAUUACUGCAGUUUGCAUUAUUUUGUCUUCACUUUUCUAACUUAUUCCUGAAUCUGUCAGCUUCCUUUUCACUACUGAAAAGGGAAUAAAACUGAAGAUGGAACUUAUAUAUUAUGUAUUCAAAGAGAAUUCAAAAAAAUGAAAAUUAGUGCUAAGUUCCUUCUGGAAUUUGACUAGACAACUAACAGGUCUGUUGCUUUUACAAAGUGAUAUUUAUGGGAAUGAUUGGAAAUUCAUCAUUCUGCAAACAAAAAUGGUAACAAGUACCAGAAACAUUGUUCAUUAGAAUGUUUUCAUGCCUACCGAAUGUAUGGAUUAUCUUAAAACUUAAUGCAGAGCAGGUCAGUCAUGAGACAGUUCUUGCACAUAUUCCCAGCUUUAAACAAAUAAUCCACAUAUUCUUCUGUGACAGAUGUCCAAUCUGUACCCUACUUUUAACAUCCUGGCAUGUUUUAACAUCUCUCUUGUGAAGUUUAAACUACUGUUGAACUGAUAUUAUUUGCUGACAAGCUUCUUACAUAUAGGUUACUUGAAAAAAUGUGUUACAACAAGGAUAUACCCUAGAAACUGCUUUGUUCUAUUGCCAGCACUCACUGAUGUGUGAAACUGGGCCCUCAGGCCACAGCAUUCAGACUGGGUGCCUAAAAUCAGGCAAAUAAAUUUCACAAAUGUGAUUUUUAAAAAUACUGUCUAUAGUAAUUUUGAACCAUCCCAUCUUCUGUACUUUGGGGGUCCCUGGCAAAGCUUUGACUCACUUCUUCUUCCUUCCUGCAGCACAGAAACUUCUCCCCAGCCCCAGACUCUCCUCCUGCUCAUCCAGAGAGCUGCACUGCUGCUACUCAUGCAGGAUGGCUGAAGUAAAAAGGAACCCCUGGAAACUGUAGUCCUGCUCAAAGGACGGUCAGCCACAGUGGGUUGGUUGCUCAGGGCUGCUUCCAGGACCUUUUUCCAGUAUCACAAUUCUGCUGAAGUCAACAAGAUUUUUUAACUCCAGGGCACUGGCAAUAAUCUGUUGUGAACAACCACGGGCUGACAUGCACAGCUCCUGCACCAACAAUGUCAUCAUGAAUUCAAUUCCCCAGUCUUCCUCUUCAAGAAGGAAGAUGAAUCAAGCAUUCAGAAUUUAACUCUGAAUCUGCUAAGUGGCAGUUCCACAGAAAUGGAGGGACUUGCCUUGCUCCCAGUGAAUGAAAUUCUGCUGUCAAACUUAUGGUUGUUUGGUUUUUUUAAUCUAUUCACUUGUGGCAAUACAACUAAACAGUGUAUCCCCAAUGGCCAGUGAAAGGACAUUGAGAGUCAGUUAAAGCAACUCUUAGGUUUGUGCUACUUUCUUUCUAGCUACCUGUUCUUCUAGAAUUAGGUGCUCUUUACAGUUUUUGCUUAAAAUACUCUUUAAUAGCAAAAUCUGAUAGCUACAUACCUAAGCGAUGAAAUCCAAAAGUGAACCUCUUUGUUGGAGAUUUUGCAGACAGCCAGAGAGCAAGGAGGGUCAAAAUAAUACCACUAAGGUCAGUUAGCAUGUGAAGUGCAUCUGUCAUAAUUGCUAGACUGUUAGCAACAUAGCCACCUGAAAACAUAAUAGGAAAAGUCAGGACACAUGAAAUUUUUCAUUAUUUUACAUAAUAGCCUCUUGCACAGCUUACAGUUAUUUCUUUUCAGAAUAGUAUAUGAGAGCCCUUCUUAUACCCACUAAACAUCGAUGGCUGUUUGCCUUUACAAGCAAAAUGCCAUGCUAUAAUUUAAAGCUAUCGUUGUUAAAAGUGCAGUCAAGUGUGCUUUCUAUUAAGAGUAACAUAGAAAGGAUUCACUCCUGUUAUUCUAACAGAGACUACUUGCAUCAUAAUGUUUGCAAGAUCAGGUCCAAAACAGUUUUGUAUCUUUUCUCUACACAUUACUGCACAUGUAUUUAAUCAACUGAUUCUUUUGUUAAACUACAUCUGUUAAACACUCUGACAUAACAGAACAGGAACAGAACUCCACAGAUUCAAUGACCAUGAAAUUUACCCUGUCCUCUUUUUAUUUUUAUUACUUUAUCACUUAACGUUAAUUAUUCCCCAUCCUGGCAGAACUGUGUAAGUUCUUGCAAUAACUAUUGCAAACAAUGACUUUCACUUGUACAGCAUUUUUCUUUGUUAUUGAUUACCAUAAUUUUUUCUUGUAAUAUUGAGCUGCAUUGAGACAACCUGAGAUCAAAGGUUAAUAUCUUUGUUCCAAUUCAAUUGCUAGUGCUGCUACUGGAUGAGUGAGAGAUUUAAACAAUGCACCUCUUGCUUAAGUAUCGCUUAUAGAGACGGGAAUCAAGGACAGGCUGUGUUGUCUCCCAUAUGCUUGAAGGUAAGCCCAUUAUCUCAGAAAAGAUCAAAUCUUCAGUGUCAGCUCAGCUAGUAUUUGGUUUCUCUUUUUACCUUGAGAUUGUCAUGCAGCCUGUAAAUUGUUCUGAGCAAAGUGUGCAGCUGGUGUGCCAUUUGGCAGGCUUCAGGCUCCAACUAACAUUUCAAAUAAAGAAAUCUUCAUAUACAAUUAAAAUUGUCUUAGUGAAGAGGCUGACCAGAGGAAAUAGCAAAGGGGAAUUCACAACUGGCUGAUAGCUUUUAAGACUGGUCAUAAAACCUUUGUGUGUGUGUGGCUGUGAGUGCUCUUAUGUACACACCUGCAGACAGAGCUACCCUCUCCUCGCCAGCCAAACACGGAGCACAGCUGUACUGCAGUACUCUUUGUGCUGUGGCCACCUACCAAAUGCACUACAUUUCAAACAGCUCCUUUCCUCCAGCCCCUUUCUUCAAUUGUUCAGAACUUUCUAUGUCAAAUUCUUCUGAGGCUGAAAUUCUCCAGAAGGCCAUCGCAGCUCAAAAACAAUGGCUUUUUAAGAUUUAGCAAUUCAGCAGCUUUUUGAUUAAAAUGAGUUAUGCCUUUCCUUUCUGAAUUAAUUUAUGUUUUCCCAUAAUUUAAAAAAAAUAUUUAGAAAGUGCAACUCAACCUCAUUUAUAGUCAACAGAAAAGAAACAAUAAUUUGUAUGUAAGGACAUUUAGUUCAGCACUUUACAUAUAUCAUUAUUUACAGUAUAUAUGUUGAUUCAUAUGUAUUAUUUUGAGAAUCACUUCAUCCAAGAAGAGUCAAUUCCACUUCAGCUAGCCUCUCACUUCUAAAGAUUUUCAAAAUAAAAGUAUAAGGAAGGAAUUCAGAUACUGAAGCUAAACAUAAUGCAGCAUGUGGAUUAAGCAAACAUAAUUGCCAUUUACGAAAUCUGAAAUCAAAGGUUCUCUGUUUCUAAAGUUAUUGGUUCAUCACGUGGUUAAAGGUACUGCCUAGGGGCUGUUUAGAUACAAUUGGCAACUUGGAAAAAAAGACACCUAUAACCUUUAGAAAUAGCUUGAUGGCUCACCACUGUUUUCAGUGACCCAUGAAAGAUAGCAGUUCUCCUCAUGGAUGAUCAAUUAGAAAUCUCUAAACAUAGAUGAAAACAUCAAAACACUGUGAGAAAAGCUAAUUAGGACUUGCAAUAUGUUUUUCAUUUCUUGAUGCACAAUGGUUUCCCCAAAGUGUAAAUUGUUAUAUAACUGGUCAUCAAAUGAAGCAACAAACACUGAGAUAGGCUGAAGUAAUGAGUUUGGAAAAAAUAUGCCAAUCAAGAUCUUACAAAAAAAGCUGCUGAAACAAGAUUUGCUUCAUCUUGACACUGGUAACAGACACCAGAAAGAUUUUACUGAAAAAAUUAGUUGUCUGAUAGAAUCUUCUGCCUCUCUUUUAGAAACUCAAAUCUGUCAAAGAUCACAGAAGGAAGUCAGUUAAAAUAUCCUACACAAUCAGAUCUUCCCAAAUACCUGAGCUUCAGAUCAAUUCAUAAAGUUUGGAAAUUUGAAACCAGCCAAAGACAACACAGUACAGGGCUGUAGUGAAAUAAAUUAAACAGGUGGGACACUGACCCAGGACUUGGGGGCUGUAUCUCUAAUUACUCUUCUGCUGAUUAUUACUUGCCCUGUGACAAGUCAUUCAGGUCAAGAUCCACAGAAUUACAGAGAUAUCCAAAGCCUCUAUGCUCUGUGGAAGAUGGAUGCCUGAAUAUUUCAUGGGUCUGAUUCUGUGUCCAAAGAACGAAAUAUGGCUGGAAACAGCACACCCAGAGCUGAGGAGGAUGAGUCCAUAGUACAGCACUGACACUCUGUACGGACAAAUCCAGCCUGCUCAAGCCCUGACUGUGCGGGAAGAACAAAGAUGAUGUGACAGUGAUCAGAGUAUUUUUACUCUCAACAUCUAUUAUUUCUAGAGCUCUCCCUGCACUAGCUAUGGACAGGUCUCCAACAGCAUGAAUUGGAUCCACAGCCCCAAACAAAAAUGCUCCCAGUGACUUGAGCAUCAACCUGCCAGCAGCUCAGACAUUAUUCAGUAAGAGGCCCUUCAGAUGAACUAAAUUCAGUGUACAUCAGAGCUCUGAUACAAUCAACUAACAUCACUCUCCUGUUAAAGGAUGUCUAAGCCUAAAAUACAAGACUAUUGCUUAUCAAAUUUACCUGAGUUCAUGCUGAACCAAAAUCUCAGCCAGAGAAAAAACAUUGGAGCCAGGGGGCAUAUGGAGGCAUUCAGCCAAAUCCCCAGAGGUUUGACACAUAGUGCCUUAGCCAUAAUCUGAUGUAUUGUGGCCUGUUAUUAAUGACCAGCCACACACUGAGACAUGCUGAAAGGCAAAACCACUUUUUUCCAUUAACCCACAUUCCUGAAAUAAGGCCCCAAAUAAAAAUGGUGCAGACACAGUCAAUAUUCUGGUCUCUCUCUGAAAAAAUGGAACAUUUCUUUUAGGGGUUUCCCCCCCCCCACAUCUGUGGGACAAACUGCAAUAGUUAUCCUCUAGCAAUUAUUUUGUUCCCUAUCCAUCUUGCACAAGUUUGUCUUAAGAACACAGUUCACAGUAGUCCUAGCAAAAGCAUCCAAGAGCAUGAGCUCACUUCACACAAGUAUUCAAUUGACUCAAUUUGCAGAAGUCAGGAGGAGGAUGUAGAUCCCAUGCUGCUGAUCUUCACUUCCAGAAAGUUAUUAUGAUUUGAUUUUUUGUGUGUGUUUGAAUUAUGGCAAGUAAUUAAUCUGAUUAGCUCUGAUUCAGACUUGAAUGUUGAAAUUUAAGAAAUUUAAAAGCAAUUAAUUGCUAUGGAGAGACCUGGCUCAACAUACAUAUCAAGGUACUGGCACUGUGCAGUGCUCCCCACAACUCACAAUCGGGACAGUGGGUGAGAACAUUAAAGCAUUUUUCAGGAGGCUGAGUCACACCCAAGAGACACUUGCACUGCAUGGCAUGGCUGUAUCCAAAAUACAGAUAGCAACAGGACACAGUAAGUGAACAGAGAUUAACAGAUAAAUACUGAACUUUGUAAAAAUGAUAAGACAAUGGCAAAGGCAUAACAUUUAACAGCUAAUCUAUGCCUCUCAAGGACACUCACAUUUUAUUUCAAGUCUAUGCUGCUAAAGCCUAUUUGAUAAAGCACAGUUGUAUAAUGUCAGUGUGUCAUGCACAGGUUCUCCUCAUCCUGCACAGCACAGCUGUUGGGAGGGAGCAAUAAAAGCUGAACUUGAGCUAUAGGGUCACUCUUCUGAACAACAAUCAGGUGCUUAUAUGGGAACUCAUUUUCAGGUAAAACCCAACUAUACUUCUACAAGCACUAACAAAAACCACAAAUAAUUUAAUGGAACUACUUGGUAUUCUUAUAUGUUGUAGCAGGAAGUAUUAAAAUAACUGUCACUUUAAAUGACUGUGCUCAUAUGAUUUAUGUCUGGAUGGAGCACAUGCUAGUCCAGAGCACAGUAGGACAUGAAGAAUCUCAAGGGAGUGAUGUCUCCAUUGAAAUGCCGUUGAUAGCUCAGGACUUGUCUCUUUAGUUCUAAGUAGCAGUGUGUAUUGCUGUAUCUGGUGAAUAAAGACAAAUACCCCGAGUAUUAAUUUCAUUAUUAUGGUAAAUGUCACAUUUAAAACUAUAUUUUCCUCUUCUUCUCUUGCUGCAUGCACAGCAAGAUUUUAUGGCCGUUGAUUAAAAAAUAUUGCGAUUGAAAUUGCUCAUGCCACUUCUCCUUUGUUAAAAACAACUUAAAAACUUGCAAGAAGAAAUAAAAAUCCAUUAGACAAGGAAAA